AGGAUUGUGGCUCAGUGGUAGAGCACUUGCCUAGCACACAAGAGGCAUUGGGUUCAAUCCUCAGCACUAUAU
rnacentral:tRNA from 1 species